UAUCAAGUAUUGUUUAUUAAUUAAGCAUCUUAUCGUUACAGGUACAAGUCUGGAACUGAGGCAGGACCGCAUGGCCGACCCUUAAGUACCCCUGGGGCGUGGCUAAGGGGCGUGCUGCGCAUGCGUGAGGUUCAUUUCUCCCCAGUCGUCGUGGAGUGAGGAGCUCAUCCAUGCUGCUCCCGGAUGAAGGCCCCAAUCUUCCGGAUGGGCCUUCAGCUCCUCUCCGGUUGGCCUUGCCUGCUCGGGAUCGUCGCGGAUCGUCGCCUGGAGCCUCGGAAAACGGUACAAGUCUGGAACUGAGGCAGGACCGCAUGGCCGACCCUUAAGUACCCCUGGGGCGUGGCUAAGGUAAGGAGGGGUCAUUGGGUUAGGGUGGACCUUGGGGGUUGGCUUGCCCAGCCCCCCUGCUUCUGGAUCUGGAUCAGAGGCAAGGCAUUUAUUCAUGACAUAAACAAAUAAUUCCUUCAACACUGUCAAACUAGUUAUUAAGUCUGCAUUACUAUUAAUCUUCUCA